rnacentral:tRNA from 1 species
CUCCUAUAGGAAAGCAGCAAUCCAUUGGUUU